AUCCUGAGUAGAGUGGCGCACGGGUGAGUAACACGUAGAUAAUCUACCUUCAAGCCUGGGAUAACUAUCCGAAAGGGUGGCUAAUACCGGAUGAAGUGCAUUGGCAUAAGUUGAUGUAUGAAAGAUUGCCUCUUCUUGAAAGCAAUUGUUUGGAGAUGAGUCUGCGGACCAUUAGUUUGUUGGUGGGGUAAAGGCCUACCAAGACUACGAUGGUUAGCUGGUCUGAGAGGAUGAUCAGCCACACUGGAACUGGAACACGGUCCAGACUCCUACGGGAGGCAGCAGUGAGGAAUUUUGCGCAAUGGGGGAAACCCUGACGCAGCAACGCCGCGUGAGUGAAGAAGGCCCUUGGGUCGUAAAGCUCUGUCGACAGGGAAGAAAUUGAUUCAUAUUAAUAGUAUGUUUCAUUGACGGUACCUGUAGAGGAAGCACCGGCUAACUCCGUGCCAGCAGCCGCGGUAAUACGGGGGGUGCAAGCGUUAUUCGGAAUUAUUGGGCGUAAAGGGCGCGUAGGCGGUCUUGUCGGUCAGAUGUGAAAGCCCGGGGCUCAACCCUGGAAGUGCAUUUGAAACAGCAAGACUUGAAUACUGGAGAGGAGAGCGGAAUUCCUGGUGUAGAGGUGAAAUUCGUAGAUAUCAGGAGGAACACCGAUGGCGAAGGCAGCUCUCUGGACAGAUAUUGACGCUGAGGCGCGAAGGUGUGGGUAGCGAACGGGAUUAGAUACCCCGGUAGUCCACACAGUAAACGUUGUUCACUCGGUGUACCGGAUAUUAAAAUCUGGUGUGCCCAAGCUAACGUGGUAAGUGAACCGCCUGGGGAGUACGGUCGCAAGACUAAACUCAAAGGAAUU
rnacentral:rRNA from 1 species